AUAGGUCCCUAUGUGAGUAUACUAGUAUAUAUGAGAAUGAAUCUAAUCCGUAGGAUUAGAUGAAAAUCAACGGCUAGGAUUAAAAGCAAGUAAUGGAAAUAAUUUAAAUAACCUCCCACACACCAAAUAAUAAAAAAUAAAAAAACAGACGUUUCUCUCUCUAAAAAUAUUGUACAGCCUCUCCCAAAUUCAACCCCCUUCUCUCCUCUAAAAACUGUCAUUAAAGCUUCAAAAAUUGUCGAUGAAGCUUCAAUUCACUCGAUUUAGUCGUUGAUUUCAAAUAGUUCUUGGUGAAUUCUUCUAUAUCUCUUCUCUUCUUCAACAGUUUCGUCUAUUUUAACCUAAUUUUUUGUAUUCGUUUAAGAUUGGAGAUGAAGGAAGCAGAAAAAUCCAAAAAAACAAGCCGAAAAAGCUAGGAACGAAGAAGUGUAAGGAAAAUUAUGAAAAAGAAGAUGAAAUUGUGUAAAAACGGAAGAAAAACACAUAUCACAUUCAGAAGAUCGCGAAGAAUCUUAUAGAAAAUUCAAAUGUCGGAAAUGAGAUCAAACGCGCCCAAACAACAGAGUUAUAUCGCACUGGUAGUUCUAUUGCCGAACAAGCACUUGUGAAUGACGUCCUUGUAAAUGUUGGUUUGAGCAAAUGAAGAGAUUGAGGCUUGAGUAUUGUGGCGAGAUAUUGGCACACAAGAAAAAUGAUGAACAUCAUGUUAUGGUUCCGAGUUAAGGAAAUGGGAAACAAAGAAUCAAAUUUAACGGGAUCAUAAUGUCUUUGUAACAUCAAAUGUUGAAUUUCUUGUAAAUACUUUAUGUUGAAUUCGUAAAAUUAGUAAACCAUCAAUUUAUAUUGGAUGGUUUUGAUCAACUUGUAAUAGAUUCAUUUGCUUGAAGUUUAAUUUGACUAAUAGACUUGUAAUGUGAUA